UCCCGCCCACUAAAAAGAUGCCUUUGGCAUCCUGCUCGGCUGAUCCCCGAGCUAGGUGGGCGGGUUUCU
rnacentral:ncRNA from 1 species